rnacentral:lncRNA from 1 species
CACCACAACGGAAAACAUCCGCAUAACAUAACGAUCAUAAAGACUGCACAUAGGGUCCAUGAAGUUAUUACACCAUUACAGUACAUGCCAUGAGUCAAGGUCAAAGUUUCGGAUUACAACAUGGUUACAAAAGCACCACAGCCAACUGGCACACAACAAAAGAUCCUGGCAGCAACUACCCACUACUCCCUACACUCCAGGCUCGUCGUCCGAGUCAGCGUCGAAGAUCGCCUCUCCAUCCUCGUCGCUAACCGGCUCAAGCUCCUCGUCCUCCACGU